rnacentral:rRNA from 1 species
ACUUAAAUUGAAGAGUUUGAUCAUGGCUCAGAUUGAACGCUGGCGGCAGGCCUAACACAUGCAAGUCGAGCGGUAGCACAGAGAGCUUGCUCUCGGGUGACGAGCGGCGAACGGGUGAGUAAUGUCUGGGAAACUGCCUGAUGGAGGGGGGAUAACUACUGGAAACGGUAGCUAAUACCGCAUAAUGUCGCAAGACCAAAGUGGGGGACCUUCGGGCCUCAUGCCAUCAGAUGUGCCCAGAUGGGAUUAGCUAGUAGGUGGGGUAACGGCUCACCUAGGCGACGAUCCCUAGCUGGUCUGAGAGGAUGACCAGCCACACUGGAACUGAGACACGGUCCAGACUCCUACGGGAGGCAGCAGUGGGGAAUAUUGCACAAUGGGCGCAAGCCUGAUGCAGCCAUGCCGCGUGUGUGAAGAAGG